rnacentral:rRNA from 1 species
GACCAGACUCCUACGGGAGGCAGCAGUGAGGAAUAUUGGUCAAUGGGCGAGAGCCUGAACCAGCCAAGUCGCGUGAGGGAGUACUGCCCUAUGGGUUGUAAACCUCUUUUGUCGGGGAGCAAAAGCCGGACGUGUCCGGCUGUGAGAGUACCCGAAGAAAAAGCAUCGGCUAACUCCGUGCCAGCAGCCGCGGUAAUACGGAGGAUGCGAGCGUUAUCCGGAUUUACUGGGUGUAAAGGGAGCGCAGGCGGCCUUGCAAGUCUGAUGUGAAAGGCCGGGGCCCAACCCCGGGACUGCAUUGGAAACUGCGAGGCUGGAGUGUCGGAGAGGCAGGCGGAAUUCCUAGUGUAGCGGUGAAAUGCGUAGAUAUUAGGAGGAACACCAGUGGCGAAGGCGGCUUGCUGGACGAUGACUGACGUUGAGGCUCGAAAGCGUGGGGAGCAAACAGGAUUAGAUACCCGUGUAAAA